GGGAGCCUCUGAAAAACCACACCAGUAACAAGGAGAUAACCCAGAGCUUAAUGGUAGCAGGAAGCCACAACAACAAGACUGAAGAGAUAAAGGGAGGAGGCAGUGUUACUAGAGCUGAGAACCAGGCUCACUCUCAGGAGACUAGAAGCAUGGUGGACCUGUCUGACAGAGAAGCUGUAGAAGAUGCUGACAGAGAAGCUGUAGAAGAUGGAAAGGAAAUGAGAAAGAUACCUCACCAUCUCCAUUCCCCCACUCUCCAAUCUCCCACCAGCGCCUCCCACCUGUUGAAUUUAGCUGGAUAGCAGCUGAAGAGAAAGCGCGGGAAACGCAGCUUGCAAAGGGGAUUUUCUGGUCUUAUGCAGAAAAAGAAUGCUGUGUUUUGUAAAGCUAUGGUACCAUAUUCUGCUCUACUGUCAUGUCCUCUGAGAAACCACCUAAAACAAAGCUAAUAGAGAGCUGAGAGAACACUGUGCGAGGCCAGCAAAUCUGUAUGUGAGACACUCAGGAGAAACACCUUCCACCUCAGCAAGUGGCCUGGAUGAAGCACAGUGUCAGGAGCAUUAAUGGGACACACAGUGCUUGCUGUCAGAAACACUGGAUUGACAACAGCGAUGAUGAUGGAAGCUAAUGCUAGCUCAUGUACGCUUAGAACUUCCUCUGCCGGGCACCCUCCUAAGAGCUCUGCACAGAUAAACCCAGUUCUUACAACAAGCCCUGAAAUAGUUCCUACCGUCUUUCCCAUCCUACAGAUGUGACAGUUGAGGCAGAGAGAGGCUGGUAAUUUGCUUAAGGUUCAUUUGACUAAUAAAGGCAAAGCUGGAGGCAGGGCUUAA